rnacentral:sRNA from 1 species
CCAGCAGACCUUCCAGCAGUACGCCUCGCUCAGGGAGGAGGAGUGCGUCAUGAAGUUCUUCAACACUCUCGCGGGCUUCGCCAACAUCGACCAGGAGACCUACCGCUGCGAACUCAUUGUAAUGGCGGGCUCUCUUGAUCCUCCCCCUGACCUGGAUUCCAGGCAUCUCGGGAAAGGGGGCCAGGAGGGGGCAGGGAGAGGCUGCAAUCGCUGCAGAUUCUCAGGCAGCAGGGCCUCACUGACCUGCCGUCGGUGGAAGUCACAAGCAUCCCCUUGCCUGAAGCAGGCACUGAAAUGUUGGCCUCCAGCUCUGGGAGGUGGGCAGGACAGGCAAGGUGUCAGGAGGGGAAAAUCCAUAUGGCCAGGGUUUCGGUGAGAAGGAGCUGGAGACCCAGGAAACAGUGGCUUGUGUCUAGCUUAGGGAGCUUUUCUUCAAGUUUCUGAAGAAUGGGGAGGACAGCUCUGGGACAACAGUCCACUCUCCUUUUAUUCCAGCAAGGAUGGAACAUUACUGUGGACCUGGUCAUUGGCCCUAAAGGGAUCCGCCAGCUGACUAGUCAGGACGCAAAGCCCACCUGCCUGGCCGAGUUCAAGCAGAUCAGGUCCAUCAGGUGCCUCCCACUGGAGGAGGGCCAGGCAGUACUUCAGCUGGGCAUUGAAGGUGCCCCCCAGGCCUUGUCCAUCAAAACCUCGUCCCUAGCAGAGGCUGAGAACAUGGCUGACCUCAUAGACGGCUACUGCCGGCUGCAGGGGGAACACCAAGGCUCUCUCAUCAUCCAUCCUAGGAAAGAUGGUGAGAAGCGGAACAGCCUGCCCCAGAUCCCCAUGCUAAACCUGGAGGCCCGGCGGUCCCACCUCUCAGAGAGCUGCAGCAUAGAGUCAGACAUCUACGCAGAGAUUCCUGAUGAAACCCUGCGAAGGACUGGAGGUCCACAGUAUGGCAUUGCCCGUGAAGAUGUGGUCCUGAAUCGUAUUCUUGGGGAAGGCUUUUUUGGGGAGGUCUAUGAAGGUCUCUACACAAAUCACAAAGGGGAGAAAAUCAAUGUAGCUGUCAAGACCUGCAAGAAAGACUGCACUCUGGACAACAAGGAGAAGUUCAUGAGCGAGGCAGUGAUCAUGAAGAACCUCGACCACCCGCACAUCGUGAAGCUGAUUGGCAUCAUUGAAGAGGAGCCCACCUGGAUCAUCAUGGAAUUGUAUCCCUACGGGGAGCUGGGCCACUACCUGGAGCGGAACAAGAACUCCCUGAAGGUGCUCACCCUCGUGCUGUACUCACUGCAGAUAUGCAAAGCCAUGGCCUACCUGGAGAGCAUCAACUGCGUGCACAGGGACAUUGCUGUCCGGAACAUCCUGGUGGCCUCCCCUGAGUGUGUGAAGCUGGGGGACUUUGGUCUUUCCCGGUACAUUGAGGACGAGGACUAUUACAAAGCCUCUGUGACUCGUCUCCCCAUCAAAUGGAUGUCCCCAGAGUCCAUUAACUUCCGACGCUUCACGACAGCCAGUGACGUCUGGAUGUUCGCUGUGUGCAUGUGGGAGAUCCUGAGCUUUGGGAAGCAGCCCUUCUUCUGGCUGGAGAACAAGGAUGUCAUCGGGGUGCUGGAGAAAGGGGACCGGCUGCCCAAGCCUGACCUCUGUCCACCGGUCCUUUAUACCCUCAUGACCCGCUGCUGGGACUACGACCCCAGUGACCGGCCCCGCUUCACCGAGCUGGUGUGCAGCCUCAGUGACGUUUAUCAGAUGGAGAAAGACAUUGUCAUGGAGCAAGAGAGGAAUGCUCGCUACCGAACCCCCAAAAUCUUGGAGCCCACAACCUUCCAGGAACCCCCACCCAAGCCCAGCCGACCUAAGUACAGACCCCCUCCACAAACCAACCUCCUGGCUCCAAAACUACAGUUCCAGGAGGAGGAUUUCAUCCGACCCAGCAGCCGAGAAGAGGCCCAGCAGCUGUGGGAGGCUGAAAAGAUCAAAAUGCGGCAAAUCCUGGACAAACAGCAGAAGCAGAUGGUGGAGGACUACCAGUGGCUCAAGCAGGAGGAGAAGUCCCUGGACCCCAUGGUUUAUAUGAAUGAUAAGUCCCCAUUGACGCCAGAGAAGGAGGUCGGCUACAGUGAGUGUUCCCGCCCUUCUUUGGGGGGUUUCCUCUUGGCACCUUGUGCAGAGCCACCAUCCUUGCCCACCGCCCAGGACAGGGAGCUGCAGUCUGUCUGCAUUCCCUGCAGCAUCGGCCAUGAUUUAAUUCAGAGCAUGUGGGGCAGGCCAGCUUCCCCUCCGCUCCCUCCACCCCAUUCCUCUCCCUGCCCAGCACCCUGCCGUUCUCUCUCUCAACAGCCACAUCCUCAGGCCCCUCCUCAGAUCAUCCCCCUCCUGCAUUAGUUUGGAGGAGUUGGGAAUUCUCUCUUCCUUAUUUCCUGCUCUGUCAGAGGCUCCUGUGGGAAAAGUUAAGCAGUGCCACCUGCCUCUCCCAGUUCAGAUUCAUCUUCUGUAGGCCUGAGGGACAGAGGAGAGAAAGUGGGAGGGGCAGCUGAGCCCUCAGGCUCUCUCCAGAAGACCCUGUUGCAGGCAGGGAGGGAAGAGCCAGAAGUAAGCCUGGGACAUGCAGGGGUGGUAUUGAGGAGGAGGAUGAUGACAGCAGUCACAGAGAACUGGACACAAGUCAGGCAUGGGCCUGGGACCAUUUAUUAUCUUCUGAGGCACAGGGUGGUUAUGUAACUUGUCCAAAGUCACACAGCUAAUAAUUGGCAAAGUUCAGAUUUGAACCCAAGCCUUCUGACUUUAGGGUCCCUUCUGAGCUCACCCUCUUAUCUUACAAAUGAAAAUGAAGGCUCUGGGAGUGUGAGCUGCCUGGGGUGGUCACAGAGCUCUUUGGUGGCAGAGGUGAGAAUAGAAGGCCAGGUGUGAUGGCUCACACCUGUAAUCCCAGCACUUUGGGAAGAUGAGGUGGGAGGGUCACUUGAGCCCAGGAGUUUGAGACUAGCUUGGGCAACAUAGCAAGACCCCAUCUCUACAAAAAAUUAAGAAAAUUAGGCGUGGUGAUGCAUGCCUGCAAGCCCAGCUGCUCAGGAGGCCGAGGCAGGAGGAUUGCCUGAGCCUAGAAGGGUGAGCUGUGAUCACACCACUGUGCUCCAGCCUCGGUGCAAGCCCUGCCUC